rnacentral:rRNA from 1 species
UUGAACGCUGGCGGCAUGCUUUACACAUGCAAGUCGAACGGCAGCGGGGGCUUCGGCCUGCCGGCGAGUGGCGAACGGGUGAGUAAUGCAUCGGAACGUACCCAGUCGUGGGGGAUAACUACGCGAAAGCGUGGCUAAUACCGCAUACGCCCUGAGGGGGAAAGCGGGGGACCUUCGGGCCUCGCGCGAUUGGAGCGGCUGAUGUCGGAUUAGCUGGUUGGUGGGGUAAAGGCCUACCAAGGCGACGAUCCGUAGCUGGUCUGAGAGGAUGAUCAGCCACACUGGGACUGAGACACGGCCCAGACUCCUACGGGAGGCAGCAGUGGGGAAUUUUGGACAAUGGGCGCAAGCCUGAUCCAGCCAUGCCGCGUGAGUGAAGAAGGCCUUCGGGUUGUAAACCGCUUUUGUCAGGGAAGAAAUCUUUUGAGCUAAUACCUCAGAGGGAUGACGGUACCUGGAGAAUAAGCACCGGCUAACUACGU